rnacentral:lncRNA from 1 species
AAAAAAAAAAAACCACAAGAGAGAAAGCAAGAUGAAAAAGAGAGCAACUGCCGCAGCCCCGCUGUACCUGGGGGCUUUGGGGGGGCUGUGUUGCUGCGUCCUCAGCCCCCUGCGAAACGCUGCUUGUGCGCAGAUCGGAGGUGCACGGGAGGAAGACCUGGGGGAGGAAGGAGGCUGCAGCUCGGCUCUAGCUGCCUGGGAACCUCUCGGGCUCCGGGCUUUUUCCUGCUGAGGCCCUGCGGCUCCCGCAGCGUGAGCUUGGCUCGAGUUGCACGGCGCAACGUAUGGAUCCAAUACGGCGCCGGCAGAGCAGCCCCACAGCUCCAGCAGAUGCAAAGUUUCGAGGAAAUUGUGGCUUUUUUUGCAUGUGUCUUUAAGCUCUGAGGCCAAACAGGAUCUUUCCCCUCCACCUCCCACUCUUGCUGGGAGGUAACGGGGUAGCAGGCUGCUCGGCUCUCCUCGGGGGGCUCUGCUGCCACUCAUUGUGCCAGCGGGAGAAAAACCCCGCUCGGGUUUUUGUACCGGGUGUGGGAGCGAGGCUGCGGGACCGCCAGCUAGCAUCUCCCAGGUAGCCAGGGGCAGGCGUGAUGGCCGUGCUCAUUUCCAAUUAAAAGCUCAUUUGCUGCAGCCCUCUCCCGACCUUCAGCCUGGCAGACUCGUGUUCUCCCAGGGAAAGCAGCCCUGCUCGCCGCCUCCCUCCCGUGCAGCUCUCGUUUCCUUCCACUGUGCCCGAGAUAACGCUCUGUCUUGCUCUGUCAUCAUGUCUUUAUCUUAACCCUACAGAUUUUUCCCUUCCCUAGCGAGCUGCAUGCUUUCUUAAUGCUUAUUGACAGGGUUUUGCCAGCACAACACAGGAGCCGGGUGCAGGAACCCAGCCGGCUGUGCCUGCCCCCAGCACCCCGCAGCUGAUGCCACCGCCACAUAACCGGGGUCCCAAGGGGUUCCCCCACCCCACAGAUCCCAAAGCAUCACCCCUGCCCACCAGAGCAUCCCUCCUCCACGUGUGUUUUAGAAAUUUCCAGGCCAGCGGCCAAGAAUUGCAGCCCGGGACCUGCAGGUUGCUGGUUUCUGGCUGAGACGGGCAAAUCCUAGGACAGAGGGAGGGCUCCCCGUGCUGCGACUGCAAUUACAGCUUCAGAUUUAGCAAGCUGCGGACUUUGCCUUUUGGUUUGCAGCCUCCGAGCGCUCCGUAUCGAUUUGUUUGUGAGAGGGAAAAUAUU